AAGCUUUCGCUGAAGGAUGAGUCCGCGUACCAUUAGCUAGUUGGUAGGGUAAUAGCCUACCAAGGCGACGAUGGUUAGCUGGUCUGAGAGGAUGAUCAGCCACACUGGAACUGAGACACGGUCCGGACUCCUACGGGAGGCAGCAGUGGGGAAUAUUGGACAAUGGGGGAAACCCUGAUCCAGCGACGCCGCGUGGGUGAAGAAGGCCUGCGGGUUGUAAAGCCCUUUCGGUGGGGAAGAAAAGCCUCGACCUAACACGUCGGGGUAUUGACGUAACCCACAAAAGAAGCACCGGCUAACUCUGUGCCAGCAGCCGCGGUAAUACAGAGGGUGCGAGCGUUAAUCGGAAUUACUGGGCGUAAAGCGCGCGUAGGCGGCUAUACAAGUCGAGUGUGAAAUCCCCGGGCUCAACCUGGGAACUGCAUUCGAGACUGUAUGGCUUGAGUAUGGGAGAGGGAGGUGGAAUUUCAGGUGUAGCGGUGAAAUGCGUAGAUAUCUGAAGGAACACCAGUGGCGAAGGCGGCACCCUGGCCCACACCUGACGCUGAGGUGCGAAAGCGUGGGUGGCAAACAGGAUUAGAUACCCUGGUAGUCCACGCCGUAAACGAUGUCAACUAGGUGUUGGUAGUGUUACACUAUCAGUGCCGCAGCUAACGCGUUAAGUUGACCGCCUGGGGACUACGAGCGCAAGCUUAAAACUCAAAGGAAUUGACGG
rnacentral:rRNA from 1 species